UACGUAGGGUGCAAGCGUUGUCCGGAAUUAUUGGGCGUAAAGGGCUCGUAGGCGGUCCGUCACGUCGGGAGUGAAAACUUGGGGCUUAACCCCAAGCCUGCUUCCGAUACGGGCGGACUAGAGGUAGGCAGGGGAGAACGGAAUUCCGUGGUGUAGCGGUGAAAUGCGCAGAUAUCAGGAGGAACACCGGUGGCGAAGGCGGUUCUCUGGGAAUAUCCUGACGCUGAGGAGCGAAAGUGUGGGGAGCGAACAGG
rnacentral:rRNA from 1 species